UGGGGGGUUUUUUGACCCCACAAGCUAAGCAAUGUAAUUACCACAUUUGGCAACUUGUGCCAUUUCAAGCACAGUUAAAACACACAUAAAUAUAUUUCAAAGAGAUAGUUAAAAAAGCUAAAAUAUAUAUAUAUAUAUAUAUAUAUAUAUAUAUUUAACAGAAGCACGGCACACCUUCAUGUUAACCGCUCUGAGAGUAAAUAUAUAAAUGACUAUACAAAGGUAGUUGUUCAAGUCGAAAAGAUAGAAGAUAACUAAGCUGUACAUACAUAUACCAAUAUUAUAAGACUAACUUUUUCAGAAAUUAGUGGAAAAAUGUGUGCUAAGGCAACGUGGCUUAUUUUUGUAGUUAAAGCAGAACAGCAGUUUCACACUUUCUCGUGACUUCAAGACACAAUUUUAACCUUGGGUUGACUUUAAAAAUGCACAUUAAAAAGGAACUCCAGCAUCACCUUAAUUGUUUUAGUCAAAAGCUCAGUCUCCUCAUACCAGAAGAAAAGAAAAAGCUGGUGUAUUCAUAAAUAUAAUUUUUCAGUCUGGUGGCUCAAGCAAUGUCAUAACAGUUACAACAAGCAAAAAACAAAAAACAAAAAACAUGACAUUUGGGGAGACAUUUGUCCCAAAACAGAAGCACGGCACUAACUAAAUCGUAUGGAUUGUGGCCUAAACCCACUAAUGGACCUUUUUUCCACAAUGGCACUAAUUUUUCUGUUUUCCUUUUUCCACAUUCAACACCUGACAAAUCAUGGUUAAGCUUCAUGUAUACUAGACAAUCAAAAAGUAGGCCAAACAACCUUCCUCUCAAGCAUUUGGUAUGGCAGGAUGAGCGAAUUUUCACCAGUGCAAACAUAUGUCUGAGCAUUUUUAUAUUAAAGACAAUCCUUCAUAAACCAUAGAAACACACGGAACACGCAGAACGUUGCGACAUAAUUAGAUGAGCUUUCGUGAGCUAAAACAUUAAUCUCGUCAACGUCAUGAGGUAAAGAUGAACAAAAGUAGCAAACAUGUAUUCGUAUACAUACCAGCAUUCAUCUCCAACUGACAAAGGGAAAUAGUUUGAGCCAGUACUACCAUUCCAGAUACUUCCUCCCAACAAUUUCCGUGGACUACUUUGUAUUUGAAUAAUGCUUGUCGUUAUUAUUGAAGCCAAUGUGCGGCACCCGCUCAUCUGAUUCAUUCACACGUUCAUACGGCUCACGUAAAAAACAUAUUUCAUUCGUCUUUGAAGUAUGAGUACAUGUGUAACUUACUGUUAAAAGAUUUCAAAGUGCUGUUACUUCAACUCACUUUCAUGAUUUGAGGUAAUCUGGCCGGAGCCGAGCCAGAGGAUUCCUCGGCCGACGUUUGGGAGCUGUAGUAGAUAUCUGAGAGUCUCUGCAGGCCUCUGCUCAAACAUUAUUAUUAUUUUUUCAUUCAUUUGAA